rnacentral:ncRNA from 1 species
AGAGCAUUAAUAGGACCUUUCCUAGUACGAGAGGACCGGGAAGGACGUACCUCUAGUGUACCAGUUAUCGUGCCCACGAUAAACGUUGGGUAGCCAAGUGCGGAGCAGAUAAACUGCUAAAAGCAUCUAAGUAGUAAGCCCACCCCAAGAAGAGUGCUCU